CCUACGGGUGGCAGCAGUGAGGAAUAUUGGUCAAUGGACGCAAGUCUGAACCAGCCAUGCCGCGUGAAGGAAGACGGCUCUAUGAGUUGUAAACUUCUUUUGUACGGGGGUAAACUCCGAUACGCGUAUCUCUCUGAAAGUACCGUACGAAUAAGGAUCGGCUAACUCCGUGCCAGCAGCCGCGGUAAUACGGAGGAUUCAAGCGUUAUCCGGAUUUAUUGGGUUUAAAGGGUGCGUAGGCGGUCGGAUAAGUUAGAGGUGAAAUCCCGAGGCUCAACCUCGGAAUUGCCUCUGAUACUGGUCGGCUAGAGAGUAGUAGAGGUAGGCGGAAUGUAUGGUGUAGCGGUGAAAUGCUUAGAGAUCACACAGAACACCGAUUGCGAAGGCAGCUUACCGAGGUACAUCUGACGUUGAGGCACGAAAGCGUGGGGAGCAAACAGGAUUAGAUACCCCUGUAGUC
rnacentral:rRNA from 1 species